NNNNNNACCUGGCAGGGGAGAUACCAUGAUCAUCAAAGUGGUUUUCCCAGGGUGAGGCUCAUCUAUUGCACUUUGGAUGUGCUGACCUCUGUGAUUUCCCCAAAUGUGGGAAAAUCGACUGCCUAAGGGGGAGACUGUGUUUGUGGCUUCCCC
rnacentral:snRNA from 1 species